rnacentral:rRNA from 1 species
UUGGAGAGUUUGAUCCUGGCUCAGGACGAACGCUGGCGGCGUGCUUAACACAUGCAAGUCGAACGGAAAGGCCCCUUCGGGGGUACUCGAGUGGCGAACGGGUGAGUAACACGUGGGCAAUCUGCCCUGCACUUCGGGAUAAGCCUGGGAAACUGGGUCUAAUACCGGAUAGGACCUUUAGGCGCAUGUCUAUUGGUGGAAAGCUUUUGCGGUGUGGGAUGGGCCCGCGGCCUAUCAGCUUGUUGGUGGGGUGAUGGCCUACCAAGGCGACGACGGGUAGCCGGCCUGAGAGGGUGUCCGGCCACACUGGGACUGAGAUACGGCCCAGACUCCUACGGGAGGCAGCAGUGGGGAAUAUUGCACAAUGGGCGCAAGCCUGAUGCAGCGACGCCGCGUGGGGGAUGACGGCCUUCGGGUUGUAAACCUCUUUCACCAUCGACGAAGGUCCGGGUUUUCUCGGAUUGACGGUAGGUGGAGAAGAAGCACCGGCCAACUACGUGCCAGCAGCCGCGGUAAUACGUAGGGUGCGAGCGUUGUCCGGAAUUACUGGGCGUAAAGAGCUCGUAGGUGGUUUGUCGCGUUGUUCGUGAAAUCUCACGGCUUAACUGUGAGCGUGCGGGCGAUACGGGCAGACUAGAGUACUGCAGGGGAGACUGGAAUUCCUGGUGUAGCGGUGGAAUGCGCAGAUAUCAGGAGGAACACCGGUGGCGAAGGCGGGUCUCUGGGCAGUAACUGACGCUGAGGAGCGAAAGCGUGGGGAGCGAACAGGAUUAGAUACCCUGGUAGUCCACGCCGUAAACGGUGGGUACUAGGUGUGGGUUUCCUUCCUUGGGAUCCGUGCCGUAGCUAACGCAUUAAGUACCCCGCCUGGGGAGUACGGCCGCAAGGCUAAAACUCAAAGGAAUUGACGGGGGCCCGCACAAGCGGCGGAGCAUGUGGAUUAAUUCGAUGCAACGCGAAGAACCUUACCUGGGUUUGACAUGCACAGGACGCGUCUAGAGAUAGGCGUUCCCUUGUGGCCUGUGUGCAGGUGGUGCAUGGCUGUCGUCAGCUCGUGUCGUGAGAUGUUGGGUUAAGUCCCGCAACGAGCGCAACCCUUGUCUCAUGUUGCCAGCGGGUAAUGCCGGGGACUCGUGAGAGACUGCCGGGGUCAACUCGGAGGAAGGUGGGGAUGACGUCAAGUCAUCAUGCCCCUUAUGUCCAGGGCUUCACACAUGCUACAAUGGCCGGUACAAAGGGCUGCGAUGCCGUAAGGUUAAGCGAAUCCUUUUAAAGCCGGUCUCAGUUCGGAUUGGGGUCUGCAACUCGACCCCAUGAAGUCGGAGUCGCUAGUAAUCGCAGAUCAGCAACGCUGCGGUGAAUACGUUCCCGGGCCUUGUACACACCGCCCGUCACGUCAUGAAAGUCGGUAACACCCGAAGCCAGUGGCCUAACCUUUUGGAGGGAGCUGUCGAAGGUGGGAUCGGCGAUUGGGACGAAGUCGUAACAAGGUA